UUUGGUUUUUUUUUUGGUUUUUCGAGACAGGGUUUCUCUGUGUAGCUUUGCGCCUUUCCUGGAACUCACUUGGUAGCCCAGACUGGCCUCGAACUCACAGAGAUCCACCUACCUCUGCCUCCCGAGUGCUGGGAUUAAAGGCGUGCACCACCACCGCCCGGCUUCCUUGUUGUUUUUAAAGGCCUGAAGACAUCAUUCAAGACCUACGCUUCUUGUAACUAUUUCACAGUCAUGUGCCAGAUCAAGAGUAUCGCAUCAAUGUCAUACAUCACCUGUGUAUGACAUCGUCUGCACCUG